GCCGGCGUGGUCGAACCUGGUAAAGACACCAGGCUGAAGACCUGGAGACACUCCCGUGUCGUGCGGGUUCAAAUCCCGCCGCCGGCG
rnacentral:tRNA from 1 species